rnacentral:tRNA from 1 species
GAUUAGCUCAGCGGUAGAGCGCCUGCCUUACAAGCAGGAUGUCGCUGGUUCGAUCCCAGCAUCG